rnacentral:rRNA from 1 species
ACGCUGGCGGCACGCCUAACACAUGCAAGUCGAACGAAGUAGCAAUACUUAGUGGCAGACGGGUGAGUAACAUGUGGGUAUCUGCCCUUUGGCCUGGAAUAACACGAGGAAACUUGUGCUAAUACCGGAUAAGUCUUUACGGAGAAAGCUUUAUGCACCAAUGGAUGAGCCCGCACUUGAUUAGUUUGUUGGUGGGGUAAUGGCCUACCAAGACUGUGAUCAAUAGCUGAUUUGAGAGGAUGAUCAGCCACAUUGGGACUGAGACACGGCCCAAACUCCUACGGGAGGCAGCAGUGGGGAAUCUUGCACAAUGGAGGAAACUCUGAUGCAGCGAUGCCGCGUGAGUGAAGAAGGCCCUUGGGUUGUAAAGCUCUUUCGUCGGGGAAGAAAAUGACUGUACCCGAAUAAGAAGGUCCGGCUAACUUCGUGCCAGCAGCCGCGGUAAUACGAAGGGACCUAGCGUAGUUCGGAAUUACUGGGCUUAAAGAGUUCGUAGGUGGUUGAAAAAGUUGGUGGUGAAAUCCCAGAGCUUAACUCUGGAACUGCCAUCAAAACUUUUCAGCUAGAGUAUGAUAGAGGAAAGCAGAAUUUCUAGUGUAGAGGUGAAAUUCGUAGAUAUUAGAAAGAAUACCGAUUGCGAAGGCAGCUUUCUGGAUCAUUACUGACACUGAGGAACGAAAGCAUGGGUAGCGAAGAGGAUUAGAUACCCUCGUAGUCCAUGCCGUAAACGAUGUGUGUUAGACGUUGGAAAUUUAUUUUCAGUGUCGCAGCGAAAGCGAUAAACACACCGCCUGGGGAGUACGACCGCAAGGUUAAAACUCAAAUGAAUUGACGGGGACCCGCACAAGUAGUGGAGCAUGUGGUUUAAUUCGAAGAUACGCGCAGAACCUUACCAACACUUGACAUGUUCGUCGCGACUUUAAGAGAUUAAAGUUUUCGGUUCGACCGGACGAAACACAGGUGCUGCAUGGCUGUCGUCAGCUCGUGUCGUGAGAUGUUGGGUUAAGUCCCGCAACGAGCGCAACCCUCACUUUUAGUUGCCAUCAUUAAGUUGGGCACUCUGAAAGAACUGCCAGUGAUAAGCUGGAGGAAGGUGGGGAUGACGUCAAGUCCUCAUGGCCCUUACGUGUUGGGCUACACACGUGCUACAAUGGUAUCUACAACAGGAAGCAAGACUGCGAAGUUAAGCAAAUCCCUAAAAGAUACCUCAGUUCGGAUUGCACUCUGCAACUCGAGUGCAUGAAGCUGGAAUUACUAGUAAUCGUGGAUCAGCGUGCCACGGUGAAUGCGUUCCCGGGUCUUGUACACACCGCCCGUC